AUACUUACCUGGCGUAGGGAUAACUGUAAUCAUAAAGGCAGUUCCCCCGGGGCGAGGGCUCAAUCAUAGCAUUGCGAUUGAGUAUGACCCCCGCGAUUACCCCUAAAGUGGGUAACUCGGACGUGUAAUUUUUGGGAGUGGGGGAUAGCGUUCGCGCUGCCCCCUU